ACCCCGAGGAGGUGAAGCGGCGCGCCAUGGCCGACCCCGAGGUGCAGCAGAUCAUGAGCGACCCCGCCAUGCGCCUCAUCCUCGAGCAGAUGCAGAAGGACCCCCAGGCCCUCAGCGAGUGAGUGCGGGCCCCCCCGCGCCCCCCCGGGGGUCCCCACGUGUCCCCAAAGUGUCACACCGGGGUCCCCGGGUGGCCCGGAGGCGGCACCGGGUGGCCCCGGUGCUCCACGGGGGGCCACGGUGGUGUUGCUCGGAGCUGGUGGGGGGUGGUGGGGAGGGUCCCCAGAAUCUCGUGGGGUGCCCCUGGGGGUCCCCAAAGUGUCCCCCCAUGUCCCCGGGGUGUCACAGGGGGUCCCCGGGGUGUCUCGUGCUGUGCUCUGGCCAUCCUGGUGUUGCUCGGAGCUGCUGGGGGGUCGUAGGGAGGGUCCCCAGAACCUCUUGGGGUGUCACAGAGGGUCCCCAAAGUGUCCCUGGGUGUCCCCAAGGUGUCACCAGGGGUCCCCAAAGUGUCCCCACGUGUCCCCGAGGUGUCACAGGGUGUUACUGGGUGUCCCCGGUGCUCCACAGGGUGCCCCACACUGUGCUCUGGUUGUCCUGGUGUUGCUUGGAGCUGCUGGGGGUUGUGGGGAGGGUCCCCAGAACCUCUUGGGGUGUCCCUGGGGGUCCCUGAGGUGUCACCAAGGGUCCCCAAAGUGUCCCCACACGUCCCCGAGGUGUCACAGGGGGUCCCCGAGGUGUCCCCAGUGCUCCACGGGGUGCCCCACGCUGUGCUCUGGUCGUCCUGGUGUUGAUCGGAGCUGGUGGGGGGUCGUGGGGAGGGUCCCCAGAACCUCGUGGGGUGUCACAGGGGGUCCCCAAAGUGUCCCCACGUGUCCCCGAGGUGUCACAGGGGGUCCCCGAGGUGUCACAGGGGGUCCCCGAGGUGUCACAGGGGGUCCCCGAGGUGUCCCCGUUGCUCCACGGGGUGCCCCACGCUGUGCUCUGGUCGUCCUGGUGUUGCUCGGAGCUGCUGGGGGGUCGUGGGGAGGGUCCCCAGAACCUCGUGGGGUGUCUCUGGGGGUCCCCAAAGUGUCCCCACAUGUCCCCGAGCUGUCACAGGGGGUCCCCGAGCUGUCACAGGGGGUCCCCGAGCUGUCACAGGGUGUUACUGGGUGUCCCCGGUGCUCCACAGGGUGCCCCACGCUGUGCUCUGGUUGUCCUGGUGUUGCUUGG
rnacentral:lncRNA from 1 species